UAGGGAAUCUUCCACAAUGGACGCAAGUCUGAUGGAUCAACGCCGCGUGAGUGAAGAAGGUUUUCGGAUCGUAAAGCUCUGUUGUUGGUGAAGAAGGAUAGAGGCAGUAACUGGUCUUUAUUUGACGGUAAUCAACCAGAAAGUCACGGCUAACUACGUGCCAGCAGCCGCGGUAAUACGUAGGUGGCAAGCGUUGUCCGGAUUUAUUGGGCGUAAAGCGAGCGCAGGCGGAAUGAUAAGUCUGAUGUGAAAGCCCACGGCUCAACCGUGGAACUGCAUCGGAAACUGUCAUUCUUGAGUGCAGAAGAGGAGAGUGGAAUUCCAUGUGUAGCGGUGGAAUGCGUAGAUAUAUGGAAGAACACCAGUGGCGAAGGCGGCUCUCUGGUCUGCAACUGACGCUGAGGCUCGAAAGCAUGGGUAGCGAACAGG
rnacentral:rRNA from 1 species